UACGGAGGAUCCGAGCGUUAUCCGGAUUUAUUGGGUUUAAAGGGUGCGCAGGCGGGGGAUUAAGUCGGCGGUGAAAUUUUGCAGCUCAACUGUAAAAGUGCCUUCGAAACUGGUUUCCUUGAGUGUAGAUGAAGUAGGCGGAAUUUGUGGUGUAGCGGUGAAAUGCUUAGAUAUCACGAGGAACUCCGAUUGCGCAGGCAGCUUACUAAACUACUACUGACGCUCAGGCACGAAGGCGUGGGGAUCAAACAGGAUUAGAUACCCUGGUAGUCCCUGA
rnacentral:rRNA from 1 species